GAUGAACGCUGGCGGCGUGCCUAAUACAUGCAAGUCGAGCGAACGGACGAGAAGCCUGCUUCUCUGAUGUUAGCGGCGGACGGGUGAGUAACACGUGGAUAACCUACCUAUAAGACUGGGAUAACUUCGGGAAACCGGAGCUAAUACCGGAUGAUAUUUUGAACCGCAUGGUUCAAAAGUGAAAGACGGUCUUGCUGUCACUUAUAGAUGGAUCCGCGCUGCAUUAGCUAGUUGGUAAGGUAACGGCUUACCAAGGCAACGAUGCAUAGCCGACCUGAGAGGGUGAUCGGCCACACUGGAACUGAGACACGGUCCAGACUCCUACGGGAGGCAGCAGUAGGGAAUCUUCCGCAAUGGGCGAAAGCCUGACGGAGCAACGCCGCGUGAGUGAUGAAGGUCUUCGGAUCGUAAAACUCUGUUAUUAGGGAAGAACACAUGUGUAAGUAACUGUGCACAUCUUGACGGUACCUAAUCAGAAAGCCACGGCUAACUACGUG
rnacentral:rRNA from 1 species